AUUACAUAACACACAGUUGGGGUAAAGAUAAAAAUAGGUUAAAACAUGUCAUUAGGAGAAUAAUACGUGAUCUGCAUCAGCAUUUUGAGCUUCUCAAUAUUUUUAGUCAACAUAUAUGCUUAAGAAAUCUGGACUCUCUUUGAUCAUUAUAUGCUAUACUACACUGCAGUGGGAGGAAGCCAUAAAUUCUGAAUUGUGCAUUUCCCCCAGGGCCUCUGUAAUAUUAGGAAGUAAUGGCAGCGGAAGAAAGAGAAAAAUAAUGACAGGCAGUGGGUGAAAAAGCAGUUUGAAGAAUGAAAAU